rnacentral:misc_RNA from 1 species
GCCUGAAUCCACAGUCAGGAAUAUUACAGGAUGAGGGAAUGCUAGUCAUUGAAUCAUAGAAAUCGGAAGAUGUAUCAGAGCUUGAAUUUGCAUUCCGUCUGGGUGUAAAAUGGACCAUCUUGUUUCCGCCAACAAAGAUACCUGCAAAGUCAGAUUUCAAAUAUUGAUUGUUCUAAAAUUUCAGCACAAAAUGAAUUGUUAAAAAUCUAACAAGAUUGUCGUCAGUUGUUCCAAACUUGUCCAGUUAUUAAUUCAUUAACAGAGUAAAUGCAACUCAAGAACAUCACCAUGACCACAGAGGGAGUGACAGAACUGGGCAUGUUUCUGAAAAAUAAACAACCAGUUAAAGUCUAGAUCCUCACAAUAGCUCUAAAAUGCUAUGACAGAGCAGUUUCCAACAACGCUAAUACAAAGUUGUCAAAGAUAGAAUGCAAGGGUACCACAAAAAGCAUAUAUUGCUGGCAUGAAUACUGUCCACAGAAUUAGGCAUAUUUACAUCACUAUCUGAGGCAUCAUGGAUGGUCAAUUGAAAGUCGCAAGAAGUCCAAUUCUGUAUACAUGGAUCCACGAAUUGUACUUGAGGAGAUACCACACCAAAUAGGUGCAGACAUUGAGCAAAAAGCCAAAAACGCAAUUUAAUCUUGAUAGUAUCCAUUCCAUUUCUGAUACCAUCAGGCCACAAAAAAAAAAAAAAUGGCAAACCGCAAAAUUGUUCUCCUGUGGAGGGUUAAGAACCAUUAAUGAAAAAUGUGAUGAAAUUGAUUGUUGUGGCCAUUGGCAGAUAAUCAUUAAUUAGCACAGAAUACUCAUAGGACAUUCAUAUUAGCCAUUCUCUGUCCGCAGAGCAACAAAAAAACUCAAAGAACACCAGUUUCCUUCUGCAAUAUAGGCCAUCUGAUGUGAGUGUUUCAACUUUCAAUACCUUUCUCUCUGUUUGAUUUCCCUCUUGCUUUUGUUAGACUGGCACUCAAAACGACAAGAGGGUAACAAAUAUCUAGUCAUCUGUCCUGUAACAAUUUCUACUCUCUCAUCUUCAAUGUUAUCAAGGUAGAAUGGUAAAUAACAAGCAAGGAAGAAUCAUGCGUUCACAUUUCAUCAUUGUAUAAAGAAAGAGGAAAAAAAAGUGGUUCUUUCUCCCAAAAUACUGUUCAGCUCCACUAGACCAGUUACAAUUGUCACCAAUCAUGACAGCAGAAAAAAUUACACGAUAGCUGAUAUAGAAUUUUACUUAGAGGGAGGACACUAUUACACAUGAAUCACUGAGUUUAAUAUUUAAUAUUAACAUUCCAGUGAAAAAUUUUAUGGUCUUCCAUAGUUCUCCAUUCUAGGAAAUCGCACAGGGAUGUGAAGCAAGGAGAAUGUUAUGGAACAAAAUGGCCAUGUGAUCCGUCAAGCCUAGUCAAUAGAUGACACGAGCUAAAUAACCACCAAUUUAUAAGAAAAUGUUUUGGUAAUUAAAAUUUUACAGCUGAAAGUUCUGAUAACUUGUACUCUAGACCAUCAUAAACAUCUAUAGAGGAACCCACAAGUAUAAACUUGGAAGCCAAGAAAUUUCAAACUUGUACACCUUAAACUCUCAAAGAAUCGGUUAAUUUCUAAACAGCACAGUGCAAAUUAGAUGUUACUAAGAAAUACAACUCAACGCAGUACAAUAUGCUCAACAUAGAAGUUGAAUUAAAAAGAUGAAAAGAAAUUAACAAGCAAAGGUUUGAAACACAAAUGAUUAUCAAGAAGGCCAGAAACAAAAAAGAAAUCGAAUUAAAUUCUGAGGAACAAACAAAAUGGAGGGACCAAAUAAAGUUAAUUAAAAUGCUUUGGAAUGAGAAUUUCACAAGGAACCCACAUUGCAAAAUUCUGCAAUGUCAAAGGAAAUGUACACACACACACACACAC